GAUGAACGCUGGCGGCGUGCCUAAUACAUGCAAGUCGAGCGAACGGACGAGAAGCUUGCUUCUCUGAUGUUAGCGGCGGACGGGUGAGUAACACGUGGAUAACCUACCUAUAAGACUGGGAUAACUUCGGGAAACCGGAGCUAAUACCGGAUAAUAUUUUGAACCGCAUGGUUCAAAAGUGAAAGACGGUCUUGCUGUCACUUAUAGAUGGAUCCGCGCUGCAUUAGCUAGUUGGUAAGGUAACGGCUUACCAAGGCAACGAUGCAUAGCCGACCUGAGAGGGUGAUCGGGCACACUGGAACUGAGACACGGUCCAGACUCCUACGGGAGGCAGCAGUAGGGAAUCUUCCGCAAAGGGCGAAAGCCUGACGGAGCAACGCCGCGUGAGUGAUGAAGGUCUUCGGAUCGUAAAACUCUGUUAUUAGGGAAGAACAUAUGUGUAAGUAACUGUGCACAUCUUGACGGUACCUAAUCAGAAAGCCACGGCUAACUACGUG
rnacentral:rRNA from 1 species